UACAGAGGGGGCGAGCGUUAUUCGGAAUUAUUGGGCGUAAAGGGCGCGUAGGCGGCCUUUCAAGUGACGGGUGAAAUCCCUCGGCUUAACCGAGGAACUGCCUGUCAGACUGGAAGGCUUGAGACCGGGAGAGGUGAGUGGAAUUCCCAGUGUAGCGGUGAAAUGCGUAGAUAUUGGGAGGAACACCGGUGGCGAAGGCGGGUCUCUGGGCCGAUACUGACGCUGAGGAGCGAAAGCGUGGGGAGCGAACAGG
rnacentral:rRNA from 1 species